rnacentral:rRNA from 1 species
UGGGGAAUAUUGGACAAUGGGGGGAACCCUGAUCCAGCCAUGCCGCGUGUGUGAAGAAGGCCUUAUGGUUGUAAAGCACUUUAAGCGAGGAGGAGGGUACUGGUAUUAAUACUACCAGCUACUGGACGUUACUCGCAGAAUAAGCACCGGCUAACUCUGUGCCAGCAGCCGCGGUAAUACAGAGGGUGCGAGCGUUAAUCGGAUUUACUGGGCGUAAAGCGUGCGUAGGCGGCUAAUUGAGUCGGAUGUGAAAUCCCCGAGCUUAACUUGGGAAUUGCAUUCGAUACUGGUUAGCUAGAGUGUGGGAGAGGAAGGUAGAAUUCCAGGUGUAGCGGUGAAAUGCGUAGAGAUCUGGAGGAAUACCGAUGGCGAAGGCAGCCAUCUGGCCUAACACUGACGCUGAGGUACGAAAGCAUGGGGAGCAAACAGG